rnacentral:pre_miRNA from 1 species
GUAAUACUCUCUCCGUUCGGAAUUACUUGUCUCGGAAAUGGAUGUAUCUAGAACUAAAAUACAUCUAGAUACAUUCAUUUCCGCGACAAGUAAUUCUGAACGGAGGGAGUAGUAU